GACGGGGGGGGCAAGUGUUCUUCGGAAUGACUGGGCGUAAAGGGCACGUAGGCGGUGAAUCGGGUUGAAAGUGAAAGUCGCCAAAAAGUGGCGGAAUGCUCUCGAAACCAAUUCACUUGAGUGAGACAGAGGAGAGUGGAAUUUCGUGUGUAGGGGUGAAAUGCGCAGAUAUCAGGAGGAACACCAAUGGCGAAGGCAGCUCGCUGGGACGGUACUGACGCUGAGACGCGAAAGCGUGGGGAGCAAACAGG
rnacentral:rRNA from 1 species